UGAGCAUAAUGCUUGUUACUGUGCAUUC
rnacentral:piRNA from 1 species